AGAAAUGAAAUAGCACACCUCUUCCCUGCGCCUGAAAUUCAUUACUUUUCCUUAAUAAGGAAAUUGAUAUUCCAGAGAAAAUUGGCCACUGAAAGCAGAAGACUGUCUAGAACCAAUGGCUACUUUAGCUGGGGAAAGCUAAUCAUUCAAGGUACUCUCUAUUUUAUACCAAUUAUAGAGAGGGCAACCUACGGCUGGGCUCUUAAGCAGCUCAAAAUCUCUCUGUCUUGUGAAUAUGAGAGAGAGAGGAAGACUAGCUUCUGCAAGGUUAAAAACACAUAUUAUGAAAAAAGUAUUUUUUUUAAAGUGAAGUUUAGAGGGGUUUUCCAAAUGAUUUAUUUUCAAAUGAAUUGGGCUGAGAUAUAAAAGGCGUUUUGUGUGAAGCCUAGUUGCCUUUUUCACUCCUGUACAUUACACUCAAAAUGCAUUAAUGAAGAUACUGUCUUCUUGUUACUGAUGUAUACUUAAGAAUUAUGCUAACUUGCUUUAAAAAGAUAAAUCUACUUAUUUGAGUGUAAUUAUUAUUAAUCUUUGUCUCUUUAGAGAGUGAUGCAAGACCAAAAACAUCACUUUCACUAUAAUGUCAUAUGACAAGGUACAGGGAUGCUCCAGAAUGUGAAGAUCUGCUUUCUCAAUAGAUUCUAUGAAAGUUCUGCCUUAAUGUGAAGCUUGUUAACAUAGGACAUUGAGAAUCUGUAAGAUGUUCUAGAAGUAACUGUAUAUUCUAAGUAUUGUGAGUAAGACUGCAUGAUAUUGAAAAGUAUCAAAAUAACAAGUCUUUGCCUUGUCUCACACGUGAUGGAUGUUUUAAAGCUUUCAUUCAGCAAAUAACUGGGAUUGUAAUUCUAACAGGUAUCCAAAGGAAUAGUGAAGUAUGAUUUUCUGAACAUUCUUAUCAAAUAUUUGUUUAAAAUGUAGCUGUGCCUAUAAAGCCAUGUUUACAUUAUAUCACAGAAGAUGUUGGGUCACUGUCUCUGGAGGUUUUCAAAAGAUGUGUAGGUGUGGUGCUUAAGGACGUGGUUUAGUGGUAGACUUGGCAGUGCUAGGUUAAUGGUUGGACUUGGUGAUCUUGGAGGUCUGUUCCAACCUAAAUGAUUCUGUGAUUCUGGGAAGAUGACCAGAAUUAUAGAUGUAUUCUUCUUGCCUGUCAAGUUUUCUUAAAAAUUAAAUCAAAUUAAUCAUUUUCAGUUCUUUCUAAAAAUGAUAAAUAGCAUUUUAGGGCAUGAAAUUGUACACCUGGUUACUUAUAAUUUUUAUCUACACCUCAGAUAAUUAGAAAGCCAUUGUACUUAGAAAAAUACGGCCUCUCUGAGCUGGAAAGUGAGACAUGGAGAACAAACUACCCCGAACAGUUUAGAGCAAAUGAUAACAGUGGAAUGAACAGUGCUUACAAAACAACAACAAAACAAAUCAGAAAAAGCAACAAAAGCACACUGGUAUUAUUAUAUAUAGACUUUGUUGGUAUACAGAACACUAUAUUUCCUGAACUCUUUUCCUCACUAAAAUAAUAAUAAUUAAAAAAAAAGGCAAGCUUUUGAAUAUCUGGAUGCUUUGCAAUUUAGUUGCCUUUCACUUUCCCUGAAAAGGGGAGAGCUCCUCCCCAGUCCAUUUGUAGGGCAUUUGUAACAACUAUCAUAUAUUUCUCCAGUUUCCAAUCAAGUGACUUCCAAUGUGCAGGAAGGGAACAGUCUUCACUCCUUGACAGAAAAAUUUUCUCCCUACCUGUUAUUCUGGUGUUCACUGUACUGAAGCUGUGCUUUCACGCUCCUGUGGGUUAGAUUUAAAAAAAAUAUUUUUUAAAGCCCCAAGUCCUAUGUCUGUAUUAGCCUUAUCAGUGAACUAUUUCAGGGACAAUGUUCAGAGUACCUCCCUUAAUCAAAAGCACAGGGAGAAACAGCUCGCCUAAAAAUCCACCUUUGGGCUCAAUGCAGAUAGCAAGGAGCAGUCAGUCAAAGCACAAGAAACCAAGCUCAGUCAUUGUUGCCCUGUCCUUCAGUAGUUUCCCUGUGGUCUUUACCUACUAUUACUGAGCUUGGAGCUUCUAGCAAUUACUGUGAUUAACUUUUGGUCGUGUGGACCCUGGUUUACCACCCUCUUGCCCUUUGGCUGUCAGAGAUUUCCAGCAAAAGCAUCCGUAGUUAGCCAUGGCAAUGGUAAGAUGCAUGUCCAUGGCUCCCAAUGAACACAGCAGCUCAGCUGGAGAGCUAGCAAGCUCCUAUUUGGGUUACUGGGAUCCAGUCCCAGUUUAAGAUUGCCUUUUCCAAGCCAAGCACUCUAAUUUACUGUAUGACAACACCUCCCCACACACUAGCUGAAGUAAACUUACUUGUCAGGUGUAAGCUAUAACAACAGCAUAAAGCUUGACUGUUCUUUUAUCUUAGUAUGAAAAUCAAAUUGCCAGAGUCUUUCCCCUAAAGAAAGGGUAACAGACAGCUAGGCAGCCAGACUGAAAAUUUUCCCACAGCUUAUACAACUUUACAAGUUUCCGUCAUUUCUCUGAAUGCCAGCUGUCCAGUUUGUUGAAUUUAAAGCACAAUAAGGACAAACAAUUGCCUAGAUAUUUCUCCUUAUAUGGGUUAUUUUAGCUAAGUAAUAGAAGGCAGAUAUGCAGGGGAAUUGUGCAGGCAGUUCUGUGAAAAAUUUAUAUGCUUAAUGUUUGUGUCAUUUAAUUUUUUUUUCCUAGAUACACAUCUAUUUCACUGUGUGUGCCUGGGAUUUCAGACAUUUAGUGAAUUCAACAAUUCUCUUCAUUCAUAGAAAUAUACCUCAGAAUGGCACAGCAAUUAAUUUAUACAAGGGGGUAGGUUGAUUAGGCACAAACUUGCCAAAUGACAAGGAAAAUGUAGGUCCUUGGUUAAAAGCUGCACAGCAAAAUGAAAGCAUUCAGGUCUGCAACGUAAUUACUGUCCUGAAAUUUUAGAAUACUGCUCUGGUUAUAGAUCACUGCUGGUAAUAUCUUUUCUCCUUUCUAGGUCCAAACCACUUCAGUUUUGUCACGUGAAUUUCUGUAUCAUAUCUGUUUGAAGUCUGACUCUGCACAUGAUAAAAAUUUUGUAGCUUCUUUGUGACACGUCUUUGGGUGAGUCUACAUCUUUAUUUUUUUGCUUGGGUUGUGAUGUUCCUAUAAGAAAGAAGCUGAAAUGUGACUCCUCAGCAAAUUGUGCCCUCGCUUGUAAAGCAAUCUGGUACAAAAUUAAUCUAAAUUUUAUUUUAUUCACUAAUUAUAUGUAGCAGCCUGGUGGCUGGUUGGAAUGAAAUUAAUUCCCUAGACAAAAAUCCCAUCAGUCUGAGUGAUGGCAAUGUACUGGUGGUUGUCAUUGUUUAUAUCCCUUUACCCUUAAUGAAUGCUAGGAAGAACUUUAAAGUCGUGUUCGAAUCAAGUAGUAGCCACAACAUAAGUGAGUGAUAACAACAAAAAAGGAGAAGAAAGGAGAAAAAAAAUGCUUUCAUCAACACUAUUCAAGAAUGUCAAGGUGUUUCUCAUUCGAAAUGACAGGUUGGCAUUCUGUAGUUCAUUGCUGACAAGCAGAAUUGCAAGUGUUUUAAAACUAUGGGCAGGUUUUGAAAUAGUUGAUUCUGUCUAAAACUCACUCUGGUUUGUCUGUAGCACUGAAUAAAUUCAUUAUUUACUGUAAAAACCA
rnacentral:lncRNA from 1 species